rnacentral:rRNA from 1 species
CCUACGGGAGGCAGCAGUGCGGAAUAUUGGUCAAUGGGCGAGAGCCUGAUCCAGCCAAGUCGCGUGAGGGAGUACUGCCCUAUGGGUUGUAAACCUCUUUUGUCGGGGCGCAAAAGCCGGACGUGUCCGGCUGUGAGAGUACCCGACGCAAAAGCACCGGCUAACUCCGUCCCAGCAGCCGCGGUAAUACGGAGGAUGCGGGCGUUAUCCGGAUUUAUUGGGUUUAAAGGGUGCGCAGGCGGAUUUUUAAGUCAGCGGUAAAAUCCUGGGGCUCAACCCCAUCCAGCCGUUGAAACUGGGGAUCUAGAGUGUGCGAGAGGUAUGCGGAAUGCGUGGUGUAGCGGUGAAAUGCAUAGAUAUCACGCAGAACCCCGAUUGCGAAGGCAGCAUACCGGUGAACAACUGACGCUCAGGCACGAAAGCGUGGGUAGCGAACAGGAUUAGAUACCCUAGUAGUC